UACGUAGGGUGCAAGCGUUGUCCGGAAUUAUUGGGCGUAAAGAGCUCGUAGGCGGCUUGUCAAGUCGCGUGUGAAAGCCCCCGGCUCAACUGGGGAGGGUCACGCGAUACUGAUCGACUCGAAGGCAGGAGAGGGUAGUGGAAUUCCCGGUGUAGUGGUGAAAUGCGUAGAUAUCGGGAGGAACACCAGUGGCGAAGGCGACUACCUGGCCUGUUCUUGACGCUGAGGCGCGAAAGCUAGGGGAGCAAACGGG
rnacentral:rRNA from 1 species